UCGGGGCCCCGCCCCGUUUAUUCCUUUUUCGGUUUAGAGUUGGGCUGGUCAGGAUGAACGCUAGCGGGAGGCCUAACACAUGCAAGCCGAGCGGUAGAGAUCUUUCGGGAUCUUGAGAGCGGCGUACGGGUGCGGAACACGUGUGCAACCUGCCUUUAUCUGGGGGAUAGCCUUUCGAAAGGAAGAUUAAUACCCCAUAAUAUACUGGAUGGCAUCAUUCGGUAUUGAAAACUCCGGUGGAUAGAGAUGGGCACGCGCAAGAUUAGAUAGUUGGUGAGGUAACGGCUCACCAAGUCUGCGAUCUUUAGGGGGCCUGAGAGGGUGAUCCCCCACACUGGUACUGAGACACGGACCAGACUCCUACGGGAGGCAGCAGUGAGGAAUAUUGGACAAUGGGUGAGAGCCUGAUCCAGCCAUCCCGCGUGAAGGACGACGGCCCUAUGGGUUGUAAACUUCUUUUGUAUAGGGAUAAACCUACCCUCGUGAGGGUAGCUGAAGGUACUAUACGAAUAAGCACCGGCUAACUCCGUGCCAGCAGCCGCGGUAAUACGGAGGGUGCAAGCGUUAUCCGGAUUUAUUGGGUUUAAAGGGUCCGUAGGCGGAUCUGUAAGUCAGUGGUGAAAUCUCACAGCUUAACUGUGAAACUGCCAUUGAUACUGCAGGUCUUGAGUGUUGUUGAAGUAGCUGGAAUAAGUAGUGUAGCGGUGAAAUGCAUAGAUAUUACUUAGAACACCAAUUGCGAAGGCAGGUUACUAAGCAACAACUGACGCUGAUGGAAGAAAGCGUGGGGAGCGAACAGGAUUAGAUACCCUGGUAGUCCACGCCGUAAACGAUGCUAACUCGUUUGUGGAGCGCAAGCUUCAGAGACUAAGCGAAAGUGAUAAGUAGCCACAUGGAGACA
rnacentral:rRNA from 1 species